rnacentral:lncRNA from 1 species
CGUACAUGGAAUGUGGCUUGUCUAGGGCAACUGUAUUUGUAAAUAAAUGGCUUCCUGUUUAUUACGUUCGCUUUCCUGAGAACUCAGCCUCUGAGCACUUAUUAGAGCAAGUAUUCAACUUCUGGUUUAAUUUCCACUGUGUGGGGUGGGGUGUUUUUUGUUUUGUUUUGUGGUAUUCACUAUAAAGAAACCGGGUUAAAAUGAAUCAGUUGGGUCGGGGGGGUGGUUCCUGAUCCUGAAGCAUCCAGGCUGACCAGGAGAUAACAACCUUACAAGUCCUCACUUUGGCCUAAGUGCGAGGAAGGGGGCUGGAUCCUGGGACGCUGCUGGACUCCAAUCUGGGGAGUUUCACUUUUGCCCCCCGGAUCUUUCUACUGCUGACCGCAGCCUUCUCUAGCAGCUUCAGAGGGCAAGGCGGCUAUCCUCCUGGCGGGUGGCCUGGGCACCGACCUGCCGCCUGGCAUCCCCGCUAACCCUGCAGCCGCGCUCGCCCACCGCCCGCUCAGAGUCGCCGCGCAGGGCCAGGUUCCGCCGCUCCCGGGCGGGGACCGCAACGAGGCCGGGCACACGCAGCCAACCCCAGCGUCCGUGGGGCGCCCGAGUUCCCAACCCCGGGGAGGCGGCCGGGCCUGGCGCCCGAAACUCCAACCAGCGCCGGCCUCCGGCCGCCCUGCCCCCGCUCGCGUCUCCUCUGCCAGACUCGGCGCUCGGAACAAUGCAGCGCCCGGCGCCCCAGCGGGCCUCGCUGACCCCUAAGGCCCCCCGAUCCGGACCGCCGCCCCAUGCUGGACCUUCUUCCGAGCCGAGGAGAGAACAAGGCAGGUGCUAGGUGCUAUCCAACGUCGCCGUGUAGGACUUCUCGUGGUGGGAAGAACCUCAAGAGUGCAGUUUUGGUGAGCUAGUCAUCUUCACCCUCCUUUUAAAAGAAAAACAAAAACGGAACACCACCACAGUAUAAAGGAGAUCGCAUGAUCGCCCCCCCUUU